rnacentral:rRNA from 1 species
GGAUGCGAUCAUACCAGCACUAAAGCACCGGAUCCCAUCAGAACUAUGAAGUUAAGCGUGCUUGGGCGAGAGUAGUACUAGGAUGGGUGACCUCCUGGGAAGUCCUCGUGUUGCAACCC